GAUGAAGAACGUAGCGAAAUGCGAUACGUAAUGUGAAUUGCAGAAUUCAGUGAAUCAUCGAGUCUUUGAACGCACAUUGCGCCCCCUGGUAUUCCGGGGGGCUUGCCUGUCCGAGCGUCAUUGCUGCCCUCAAGCACGGCUUGUGUGUUGGGCCUCCGUCCUCCUCCCGGGGGACGGGCCCGAAAGGCAGCGGCGGCACCGCGUCCGGUCCUCGAGCGUAUGGGGCUUCGUCACCCGCUCUUGUAGGCCCGGCCGGCGCUUGCCGACACAUCAAUCUUUUUUCCAGGUUGACCUCGGAUCAGGUAGGGAUACCCGCUGAACUUAAGCAUAUCAAUAAGCGGAGGA
rnacentral:misc_RNA from 1 species